AAAAAGCAUACUGAAAACUUAAAAGACCAUAGGCUUCCUAUAGUACCAUCUAAUCUGCAGAAAGUGGGAGUUAUGCAAUGUUUCUACAGUUAUGUUGCUGCCCUCUCUGUUGUUUGCACUGUGUCCAGCUCUGCCCAUAGCUGUGCGGUGUUGUCCUUCCUUGUUUGAUCCUGUGCAAGUGUGGGCAGCUGCUUAAGUUGAUCCAAAUGUUGCCUAGUAACACUGAUGCACAAAAUAACUAUUUGAAUUUUCUCUACAGGGAUUGCUUCCUUAAGGCUUGCUAGACUCAGGGAACACUUAAAAUGUAUGUUUUAAAAAUAUGACUACAUCAAAAUGCUUAUCAACUCCUAACUUCUGAUGUGAGGUAACACUGAGGUUGGCCUUAUUAUCUACAAUCUGCUGCUUAAAUGGACUCAGCAGUGACACUCACUGCAUUGUUAUCUGUAUAAAGCUUCUAAGCUGGCUAUGGUGACAAACUGAAUUUUAAAAAAGAGAGAACAUUGCAAGCUAAUGGGAAAACCUCCUGGUGAUGAAGAAGCAGUUGAGAUUGAAAAGCUUAAGGAGAAAGUUUGAAAGUUCUUCCAGCAUCUUCAGCACUAUGUGUCAUUUCCCAAAUGCUGUGCACAUGGAUCUACUAAUGUACCAAAGAUGAUGCAUUUCCUUGAGGAACUAUUUUCAGCCCAGAUCACUGUGCUGUUUUUGUUUGCUAGUGAGUCUCUUUAUUUCUUUGCCAAAAUUCCUGCAUG
rnacentral:lncRNA from 1 species